rnacentral:rRNA from 1 species
CUAAGAAUAUUCCGGCAAUGGACGAAAGUCUGACGGAGCGACGCCGCGUGGAUGAAGAAGGCCGGAAGGUUGUAAAGUUCUUUUAAGCAUGAAGAAGGAUUAUUGCAGGAAAUGGCAGUAAAGUGACGGUAGUGCUUGAAUAAGAGGCGGCUAAUUACGUGCCAGCAGCCGCGGUAACACGUAAGUUGCGAGCGUUGUUCGGAAUUAUUGGGCGUAAAGGGCAUGUAGGCGGUAUUGCAAGCCUGGUGUGAAAGGCAGGGGCUCAACCUCUGGACUGCGCUGGGAACUGCGAUACUAGAGUCGCUGAGGGGCAAUCAGAAUUCCAGGUGUAGGGGUGAAAUCUGUAGAUAUCUGGAAGAAUACCAAUGGCGAAGGCAGGUUGCCAGCAGAUGACUGACGCUGAGGUGCGAAGGUGC